rnacentral:rRNA from 1 species
CGUAGGGUGCAAGCGUUAAUCGGAAUUACUGGGCGUAAAGCGUGCGCAGGCGGUUUUGUAAGACUGUCGUGAAAUCCCCGGGCUCAACCUGGGAAUGGCGAUGGUGACUGCAAGGCUAGAGUUUGGCAGAGGGAGUAGAAUUCCACGUGUAGCAGUGAAAUGCGUAGAUAUGUGGAGGAACACCGAUGGCGAAGGCAGCCCCCUGGGUCAAAACUGACGCUCAUGCACGAAAGCGUGGGGAGCAAACAGGAUUAGAUACCCUGGUAGUCCACGCCCUAAACGAUGUCUACUAGUUGUCGGGUUUUAAUUAACUUGGUAACGCAGCUAACGCGUGAAGUAGACCGCCUGGGGAGUACGGUCGCAAGAUUA